rnacentral:rRNA from 1 species
UACGGGGGGGGCAAGCGUUGUUCGGAAUUACUGGGCGUAAAGCGUGCGCAGGCGGUUUUGUAAGUCAGAUGUGAAAUCCCCCGGGCUUAACCUGGGAACUGCGUUUGAAACUACAAGGCUAGAGUGCGGUAGAGGAUGGUGGAAUUCCCGGUGUAGCGGUGAAAUGCGUAGAGAUCGGGAGGAACACCCGUGGCGAAGGCGGCCAUCUGGACCAGCACUGACGCUGAGGCACGAAAGCGUGGGGAGCAAACAGG